GGCUAGGCUGCUGGGCAUUCUAACUUGAAAUUUGAGCACCAAGCACCAUGUCACCAGAUCAAUUGUCUCCUGUGUGUCCUCUGUGUUCCCUAACUAGCCUACAAGCUUCUCUGCGAGUGUAGGGGAUAGGGAAAACAGCUCGAUGGGGUAAGGCAGAUAGAGACUGGGCGGCUGGGUGGAAUGUAGAGGCAGGAAACGCAGCAACUGGAGGGGAAAAAAAGUCCCCAAACUUGACAGGACUUUUUCAAAGAAGGUAGAUAAAGAUUUGGAGUCGGUUUCAUUAAUUAUAUAUAACAAUCGGAAGAUCUGAUAAGAAUAAAAUUACCACGGGCGAUUGGAAUCAGAUUCUAGUCUAGUCCGGUCACCCUUAAUCAGGGAUGAGGCCAAAGGUGGAGAUCAACCCGCGACCGCUGUGGCGGCGACCGCGUGGGCGGCCCGGGGAUCUCGCCGCGCCCCCAGCCCGCCCCAUUUCCUCAGGCGCUCUCUGGAGGCGGAGGAGGGUGAAAGCUCGCGGAGGUCUUGCAUCAGACGAAAGGCGGUUCGCAGCCGCAGCUCCAGGAGGGCCUUCCCCAGAUGCUUCCCCAGCAACCACGCGACUGGCUGGGACUCGCCAGCGCCCCCCAGCGAAGGCCGAACGCAACCGGGAGGGCCAGCACCUAGAUGGGGAAGGCCAGUAGCUGGGCUCCACUCAGGGAGGCCACUUUGGCGCCCCUCCCCUCGAUGCUCAGGCUCCAGGUGAGACGAACAACGUGGUGGAAGAGUGUGGCAGAGGGAAGCAGCUCACAUGAUGAUCAAAAGAAUUCAUGAAUAGAAAGAGCUUGUCUGCAUGUUCAAAAAGAUGAGCUAAGGCCAGGAUGGCCUUGAAGUUAUGAUCCUCCAGAGAUGCUGGGAUUACAGGAGUACACCACCAUACUUGGUUUAAAAUUAUUUAUUUAUGAUCUUGCUGAGGUUUCCAGGAUGGCCUUGAACUGAAACAGCUCCUGAACGUUGUCCUGCUAAGAAAAAAAUUACCCCCUUGCCUGCAUGGUACCAAGAAAGCUGAAACUGGCAUGUCCUCUGGCCCGCAUAGCCUAAGUAAAUCUACAUAUUUUUAUUACCUGGCUUUUGUUUCUGGAAAUUGUAACCACUUUUGUAGGAUUAGCAGAGAAGUAAUGUAGCUGCUUCUCCCCAGUUUGGCCAAACUGCAUGAAAUUCCUUUUCCCUUUUAAUGUUGUUUACUUAUUUCCAAUGUGGAUGGACAGCUAAAUUUAACCAACUGGGAUCCAAACAGGGUCCUUGACUUGACUGGAGUAACAGAAUUUGUAAUCCUCGUGCCUCCACUUCUUAAAUAGCUGGGAUUACAUGUGUGUGCCUCCAGGCCUGGUUUAUGGAUUCUUUAA